rnacentral:misc_RNA from 1 species
UCCGGUUUAGCACCGGCAGUCCCCCUAGAGUGCCCAACUUAAUGAUGGCAACUAAGGGUAGGGGUUGUGCUCGUUGCGGGACUUAACCCAACAUCUCACGACACGAGCUGACCACAGCCAUGCAGCACCUGUCACCGAGCUCCCUUGCGGGCACUUCCUCAUCUCUGAGGAAUUCUCGGGAUGUCAAACCCAGGUAAGGUUCUUCGCGUUGCUUCGAAUUGAACCACAUGCUCCACCGCUUGUGCGGGCCCCCGCCAAUUCCUUUGAGUUUUAAUCUUGCGACCGUACUCCCCAGGCGGGAUGCUUAACGCGUUAGCUACGGCACUGAAGGGUUGAUUACCUCCACCACCUAGCAUCCAUCGUUUACGGCGUGGACUAC